rnacentral:rRNA from 1 species
GGGUUGAUUUGUCAAUUAACAAUGUGUAAGGCGUGAUCAUAGCAAUAUGAGGCGCUGUUUGUCGCAACUGUUGAUGCGGAAAAGGUCUUUGACUUAGCUUAGCCCGAGUGUAUGCCGGGUUGCGGUCUUAGAUUGAGAAGUGUCUCCUUAACUUGCAAUAGCCCUAGCGCUGUCGGUUUUACCGGCUAAACAGCGGGGUGCAGUUAGUGGUCGUACACGGUUCUCCUCAGUUUUCGUCUUCGCUUGCCUUGACUGGCAAUGCUCUCGCGUUAAGCAGGGCAGUCGUCUUGGCUAUGAGUGGCCGUCUUUGCGUGCUAAGCCCGUGUGUAUGCUGGGUGCCGCUUAGAUGUGUUUCUCUAUGUUGCUACCCAACUUGAAAUUACUCACAACCUCACAUCAGGUAAGAUAACCCGCUGAACUUAAGCAUAUCAAUAAGCGGAGGAAAAGAAAGCAAAUGCGAUUCCCUUAGUAACGGCGAGUGAAAGGGGAGAAGCCCAUCGUGAAGGCCUGUUUCCGUGAGGACUCGGGCGAUGCCACGAUAGUUAAGCGGGUAAGCGGUUGUUGGACUAGGGCUGUAAAUCUGCUUAAGUGCAGUGCCAUAGAAGGUCGAAGCCCUGUUUCGGCCCUGGUCCUUUUGCUGCGCUACCGUUUAAUAAGAGUCGGGUUACUUGAAAGUGUAACCUAAAGAUGCAGGUAGAUCCCUGCUAAGGCUAAAUACGUCCACCAGACCGAUAGCAAACAAGUACCGUGAGGGAAAGUUGCAAAGUACUUUGAAGAGAGAGUUAAAAGAACGUGAAACGGCUAACGGGUAAACGGUUGUAGUGGUCGGAAUAAUCGGCUGGCUUUCAUGAUUCCUGGGUUAAGGGUCUCUCUCUGAGAGAGCCUGUCCCGUGUAGGAGUCUGCAUUAGCCCGGUCGGUGCUGUCCUGCGGCGCUAGGGACGUGUGUGCUCGGCUUGCUCGGAGUUGUCGUGCGUUCAUUCCUUCGGGAGUGGAUAAUAAGCGCGGCUGCCUUGUCUUGCUAGUGGUACUGUUCUUAGUGCGGUAACCCUUUCUAGGGUACGUGAUGUUUGUCGAAGGCGCUGACCUGCGUUGGAGACGGGCUGUAGGUGAUAAACCGAAUGCCUUUCUUUAGCGCAAUAGGUGCUUGAGACAGGCGUUACCGCAGAUGAGACUAACUGUAACCGUCCCGUCUUGAAACACGGACUAAGGAGUCUAGCAAUAGCGCGAGUCGCACAGUCUUGAACAGGCUUGUGAGGCGGAAUGAAAGUAACAGAGGUGAUUCUCGCAAGAGAGGCAACCUCGGGUCCCUAAAGGGAACCUGUAGCGCUAUUGCUGGUACCCGAAAGAUGGUGAACUAUGCCUGGGCAAGACAAAGUCAGGGGAAACUCUGAUGGAGGUCUGUAGCGAUUCUGACGUGCAAAUCGAUCGUCAGACCCGGGUAUAGGGGCGAAAGACUAAUCG